AAAAUACACACUCAGUAUAUACACGUGGAUAAAAGGAGGCUGGCAGUACUUUCGCAUUGAUUAUCCCGGAGCCAUCCUACCUGUAGGCAUAACAACAGACUACGGUGUCUUGCACGCGAAUGACUACUGCCUCAUUACAGGCCUCUAUCCGCAAGAAGGAGAGAGGACCAUCUGUUCGUACUGGGUGAAGCCGCAGCAUGUUGAACAUCGGAACGAAGUUUGUGAUUUCAUUUUUUUGAACUACUGCGACAAUCCUCGGUUCUUUCUGAACUCAACGGUCUCAGGAGAAUGUAGAUGGCCAAAUUAUUGAAAAUAUUUUUAAACUAAUACAAGACUUUUCCAUUCAUUGCGGGAUACUGCUGUUAGUCUACGGACAAUCCUAAAGUCGAAGAAGAUUGUUCGA